UACGGAGGGUGCAAGCGUUAUCCGGAUUCACUGGGUUUAAAGGGUGCGUAGGUGGGCAGGUAAGUCCGUGGUGAAAUCCCUGAGCUUAACUCGGGAACUGCCAUGGAUACUAUUUGUCUUGAAUAUUGUGGAGGUAAGCGGAAUAUGUCAUGUAGCGGUGAAAUGCUUAGAUAUGACAUAGAACACCAAUUGCGAAGGCAGCUUACUACACAGUUAUUGACACUGAGGCACGAAAGCGUGGGGAUCAAACAGG
rnacentral:rRNA from 1 species